UACAGGGGGGGCAAGCGUUGUUCGGAAUUACUGGGCGUAAAGGGCGCGUAGGUGGCCGAGCAAGGUCGCGGUGAAAGCCCGGGGCUCAACCCCGGGUCGGCCGUGGCAACUACUUGGCUUGAGCACUGUAGGGGCGGGUGGAAUUCCGGGUGUAGCGGUGGAAUGCGUAGAGAUGUGGAGGAACACCGAUGGCGAAGGCAGCCCCCUGGGCUAACACUGACGCUCAUGCACGAAAGCGUGGGGAGCAAACAGG
rnacentral:rRNA from 1 species